rnacentral:tRNA from 1 species
GGAGGCAUGGCUCAGUGGAAGAGCAUCUGCCUAGUAAGUGUGAGGCCCUGAGUUCAAUACCCAGUACCACCA